rnacentral:hammerhead_ribozyme from 1 species
CUCCAGCUGACAAGUCCAAAAUUGAACGAAACGCGUAUCCUGGAU